ACCUAAUGACAUUUGUUGGUGUCAUCAGUUAAUUCAAUGUUGCAGCUAUUUUUUUCAAUAUUUAACUCUUAUUGUGUUAUAAAAAAUAGUACCAUGUGUUCCCACUGCCAAUUGUGCUGAAGGAUAUGUGCUGUUAGAUAACCAAACCGCUAGUCGUAAUUGCUACGCUCACUCUAAACCGGAUCACCUUUACGAAACAUGGGCUAAUGCUUUGGUGAGUAUGUUUUAUGUUGUAUCAGAUUCAAUUUUCCCUUAUUCAAGUAUUGUUGAUUUUGAGUGGUUGAUAUGUUAUGAAAUAUGAAAGCAUACAUGUCUGAGAAAUUAUUCAAACGGAUCUACCUUUUUUCAUGUCUAUCAUUGUUUUUGUUAUCAAUAAAAUUGAGAAUGGAAAUAAAGAAUGGGAAACACAUAUGUGCCUUUGUCUUCUUUCACAGAGACGCUUGACAUUUUAUUUCAAUUAAUUAAUAUUUGUUUUUGUAUAUGGAUGGAAGACCACAGAAUAAUAGCAUUAUAUUAAACAUAUUUAACUCAAUUACCUCUAUUUAUAGUUGAUUGAUUGAUGUUGGUGUUUAACGCCACUUUCAGCAAUAUCUUCUGAACAUGAUAUUUUUCUGCAAAAAAGAGGUAUCAAUGUGAGGCGAAUACUUAGUGAUACCAUGAAAAUAACUAUCGUUAAGAAACGUAUCGGUCAAGAUUGAAUUAUAAAACAUAAGUAUUACUUAAUAGCGAUAGAAAUACAUGAAAAAAUAAUCCAUGUAUAUCGGGUUCUAUUUAAAAAUACAUGCAUAUUGUAUACAUUGAAGAUUAACCAAUAAUGUAUGCAUUAUCACUGCAAUGUUAAAAUAGAUGAUUCAUUAUUAUUCAUGGAAUUUCAUGGGUAUAUCAUAAGGUCGAAUUUUAAUGCUCAACAAACUGAACAUUCACAUAGGCUUGUAGUCAGGCUUUGUCGAAACCAUAAUCAAAUGUCCACAAAAUAUAAUUGUUUCCAAAGCCACAGAACUUAAAAUAACCUGACAAAAAUCGUUAGUUAUACUCAAUUGCAGUACCGAUAAGUUAAAAGCGUAAUAAGUUAUUAUAACCUUGCUUCUCCGCGGUGUAAAACAUGUAUUAUUUGUUGUAUUAUCUUUAUUUAUCUUAUAAAUGUAUAGACUUAAAUUUUAGUCGGUAUGUACCAUGACACCAGGAGCUUAUUGAUGAAGACCAAAUAGUCAAGCAGAAGCUGCGGCUGCCUUUGAACUGUUUCAAUGCAGUA
rnacentral:lncRNA from 1 species